GAUAACUCGAAGGAGGUUCGUUUCACCAGCGUCCACAUGCACUAUGGUGGUAUCUGCAUUAACAUGAUUUCUAUGAAAACAUGUGCUAACAGAGAUCACCUGGUUGGCCAUUGAUGGUGUAAGCAUCAGAUACAUUAGGAGCUGCUCCUGUUCUUGAUGCUCGUCUUACAACAUCAAUCGGAAAUGAUAAAAGCUUUUGGUAUUGAAGAGAAGGUAGAAGUAGUACCAAGCAUAAUUGGUGUUUCUCUUUUGGGCUUAGCAAAUGGAUAGGAUUCGCCUUCUUUUGGA